GCAAAGCCAGCAUCUGGUUUACCCCGCCUAAUGUAUCUGAACAACAUAAUAGUUUUAGCAUAGAACACAACAACUAAAAGCUGGAAAUGCAAAUAUUGAUAUCAACGGCUUUUCUUUUAGUUAUUGUUGCAGAAUCAAAAUAUUAAGUAGAAUAUUAUACCAUUUAUAUUGUUUAUUUCUCAGUUAUUGUAUUAUUAGGUAGUCAACUAUUGUCAUUAACCUGUAAUUAUGUAGGAUCUCUGCAAUUAAUUAGGAUUCUAAUUCCUUCUCUAUUAAAGAGACAAUUCCCCUGUACAUUUGAAUAUAUCAAGAAAUUAUUCUCCUCUCAUUCUUUUCUACUUGGCAUCAGAGCAAUUUCUCUGCAGCCUGCGCCUUUGUACUUCCAUGACUGAGAGUUCCUCAGUCAAUAGUGAAGAGGAGAAUAAAACUCCCAAAAACAUGCUGCCUAAAAAUGAGCAGAAGGUUGCUUAUGGCGGUGAUUCCCAUUCUAUCCAAAUCACCUCUUUUCGACUCAAUGGGUCGAACUAUUUUAGGUAGUCUCAAUCUGUCCAGAUGUAUAUCCGUGGCAAAGGAAAAAUGGGUUAUCUUACUGGUGAUCGCAAAGAACCAAAUGCUAAUGACCCACAACAUGAUGUGUGGGAUGCUGAAAACUCCAUGGUAAUGACAUGGUUGGUAAACUCCAUGGAAGAGGAAAUCAGCAGCAACUAUAUGUGUUAUUCCACAGCAAAAGAAUUAUGGGAAAGUGUGAAAGAAAUGUACUCUGAUCUGGAAAAUAAGUCUCAGAUCUAUGAACUUACAUUGAAGGCUAGAGAAAUUCGGCAAGGAAGUGAAAAUGUCACAAAAUACUUCCAUUCCUUAAAACGGAUUUGGCAAGAACUUGAUCUCUUCAACACCUAUAAGUGGAAUUCAACCGAGGAUGUGAAACACCAUCAACAAACAGUGGAAGAAGGAAGAAUUUUCCAGUUUCUUGCCGGUCUCAAUGAGGAGUUAGAUGAAGUUCGUGGAAGGAUCAUUGGAAGAUCAACCUUACCUUCACUAGGAGAAAUGUUUUCUGAAGUUAGACGGGACGAAACUCGCAGGAGUGUCAUGAUGGGAAAGGCAAAAUCUGAUCCAUAUCCUCCUGAGACUAAUGCCUUAAUUGCGGAUACUACUGCCCUUAAAAGUUAUUCAAAUCAGAGGAACACAUCUAACGUCGUGUGUGACUACUGCAACAGACCACGUCACACCCGAGAGACCUGGAAACUCCAUGGGAAACCAGCACAUCUGAAAAAUGGCAAACCGGGUCCUAGAUCUGUUCCUGCAGCACAUGAGGCUAAAAAAUCCUUGCCCAACCAGGAUCAAGUUGAGGAGCUCAUAAGGUUGCUAAAAUCUAGUUCUUUGUCUGGUAUUCCUAAUGCUUCUUUGGCACAAACAGGUAAUUUUAGUACCCCUACUUCUCUAAGUUGCACCUCAAAUAUGUCUGCACCAUGGAUCAUAGAUUCAGGUGCUUCUGACCAUAUGACCGGCCUUUCUUCUCUAUUUCAAACAUAUUCACCUUGUCCUGGAAAUAAAAAAGUUAAAAUUGCAGAUGGAAGCUUUUCACCAAUUGCAGGAGAAGGAAAAAUUCCUUUAUCUACGCACAUUGAUUUAAAAAAUGUGCUACAUGUACCAAAACUUUCAUAUAACCUUCUCUCUGUUGGUAAAAUCUGCGAAGACUCAAAUUGUAAAGUGAAGUUUUUUAACACUCAUUGUAUUUUUCAGGACCGGAAUUCGGGGAAGAUGAUUGGCAGUGCUAAAAUGAUGGAUGGACUCUAUUACUUUGAGGAUGUUUUUGAGAAUAAAGUGGCUCUUGGCCUUAGUGGUAUCAGUUAUGCCUCUGUUAGGGAUCAAAUAAUGCUCUGGCAUAAUAGACUAGGGCACCCUAAUUUUCAAUAUCUUAGGCAUUUGUUUCCAGAUUUAUUCAAAAAUGUUAAUUGUUCUUCUUUUGAAUGUGAAAGUUGUGUUCUUUCUAAAAGUCAUAAAACUCCCUAUUCCUCUCGACCUUAUGAUGCAUCCAAACCUUUUUAUUUAAUCCAUAGUGAUGUAUGGGGUCCAUCUAAAAUUACAACUCAAUUUGGGAAAAGGUGGUUUGUGACCUUUAUUGAUGAUCAUACACGGCUAUGUUGGGUCUAUCUUAUGAAGGAUAAAUCUGAAGUACCAAAGAUAUUUAAAUAUUUUUCAAAAAUGAUAGAAACUCAAUUUGAUGCAAAAAUCUCCAUUUUGAGAAGUGACAAUGGUACUGAAUAUUUUAAUAAAAACCUCGGAGAGUUUUUUCAACAUAAAGGUAUUCAACAUGCCCAAAUACGCCUUAACAAAAUGGCAUAGCUGAAAGAAAGAAUAGACAUCUUCUUGAGGUAGCUCGUGCCAUUAUGUUUGAGAGCAAUGUUCCUAAAUUUUUAUGGGGGGAUGCGGUUCUAACAGCAUCAUAUCUCGUAAAUAGGAUGCCCACUCGUGUGUUAAGUUAUCGCACACCAUUGGAUGUUUUCAAAACUUUUUUUCCAGCAUGUCGAUUGCAUACCGAUUUACCUUUAAAAGUGUUUGGAUGUACUGUUUUUAUGUACGCCCCUAACCUCGUUCUAAACUAGAUCCAAGAGCUGAAAAAUGUAUUUUUGUUGGUUAUUCUCCCAACCAAAAGGGGUAAAAGUGUUACAAUCCUAACACAAAGAAGGUUCAUGUUAGUAUGAAUGUCACUUUUUUAGAACUACAAUCUUUCUAUCAAAAAAAUUCCCUUCAGGGGGAGAGUGUUAAUGAAGACAAUUUUUCAAGUGACAACAAUUUGAAUGAACCUUUACCAAAUCCUGUUUUUAACAUUGAGGAUAUAGAAUUAAUUGAUCACACAAUUGCACAUAAAGAAGUAGAACAUGUGGAAACAGAUCCUGAAAUUGAUAAGGGAAACCUUGUCCCAGACUUAGGUGGUGCCCAAAUAGGAAAGGAAAUACCACAAUCAAAACAAGAGCUUCGUGUUUAUGCUCGGAAAUAUCCUCAAAAGGUCAGAAGUCAGUCCAUCAUUUCAGCAUCCAAUCAACUAGAAACCCCGGAUGAUGGUUCAACAAAGAUGCCUCAAGAACAAACAGGUAAUUCUGAAAUUUCCACUUCUAAUAUUGAUCUACCCAUAGCCAUUAGGAAAAAAACCAGAACUUGCACCAAGAAAUCACUUAAAACCAGUACAAACUAUCCCAUUUCCAAUUAUGUCUCCUACCAAAACCUCUCCCAAAACUACCGAGCCUUUACUUCUAAAAUUACGAAUUUAUUUGUGCCUAGAAACAUUGAGGAAGCACUAGAUGAUCCCAACUGGAAAUUAGCAGUCCUAGAUGAGCUUAAUGCUCUCAAGAAAAAUGAAACAUGGGAAAUUGUGAGCCUACCACAUGACAAAAAGAAGGUGGGUUGUAAGUGGGUUUUUACCAUCAAGUGCAAAGCAGAUGGAAGUGUGGAGAGAUACAAGGCUAGGUUAGUAGCUAAGGGAUUUACCCAAACUUAUGGUAUAGAUUAUCAAGAGACCUUUGCUCCAGUUGCAAAACUCAACUCUAUACAUGUUCUUUUAUCCCUUGCUGCCAACUUGAACUGGCCUUCACAUCAACUUGAUGUAAAGAAUGCUUUUCUAAAUGGAGAGCUAGAGGAAGAAGUGUUCAUGAGUCUUCCCCCUGGAUUUGAGGAAAAAUUGGGAAGAAAUAAAGUUUGUAGAUUGAAGAAGUCUUUGUAUGGUUUGAAACAAUCCCCAAGAGCUUGGUUUGAGAGGUUUGGAACUGUGGUAAAAGGACUUGGUUACAUCCAAAGUCAAGCUGAUCAUACACUGUUUUAUAAACAUUCAACCACUAAUAAAAUUGCUAUUUUGAUUGUAUAUGUAGAUGACAUCAUAUUAACAGGUGAUGAUAGCUUGGAGCUCAAAAGCUUAAGGGAGAAACUUGCUAAGGUCUUUGAAAUCAAAGAACUUGGUCCUCUAAAAUACUUCCUUGGAAUUGAGUUUGCAAGAUCAAAGGAGGGUAUUUUUAUGAAUCAGCGGAAGUAUGUUAUGGAUCUUUUAAAAGAAACUGGAUUACUUGGAUGUAAAUCUGCUGAGACACCCAUGGAAUCCAACAUAAAAUUGUAGCCUGCUGAAGCUGGAAAUAUGGUAGAUAAAGGGAGGUAUCAGCGAUUGGUAGGAAGACUGAUAUACUUAUCUCAUACGCGUCCAGACAUAACUUUUGCUGUAAGUUUGGUGAGUCGGUUCAUGCAUGCACCAGGACCUGAACAUCAAGAAGCUGUUUUCAGGAUCUUAAGAUACUUGAAGGGAUCACCCGGGAAGGGACUUCUUUAUAAAAAUCGUGGACAUCUCCAAGUAGAAUCCUACACCGAUGCAGAUUGGGCUGGAAGUAUAACUGAUCGAAGAUCAACAUCAGGUUAUUGUACCUUUGUCGGGGGAAACUUGGUUAGUUGGAGGAGCAAGAAACAAAGUGUUGUAGCAAGAAGUAGUGCCGAAGCUGAAUUUAGAGCAGUCGCUCAUGGAAUUUGCGAGGGGUUGUGGGUGGAAAAGCUACUGCAAGAAUUGAAUUUUUAUAAUUCUCCACCUAUAAAAUUGUAUUGUGACAACAAGUCUGCAAUAUCUAUUGCACACAACCCAGUCCUACAUGACAGGACCAAGCAUGUUGAAGUUGACAAACAUUUCAUCAAGGAAAAAAUAGAAAGGGGACAGAUAUGUAUGACUUAUAUUCCCACUACAGAACAAUUGGCAGAUAUCUUGACCAAAGGACUACCCAAGAAACCUUUUGACUACAUAACUCGCAAGCUGUCCAUGGAAGACAUUUUCAAGCCAGCUUGAGGGAGAGUGUCGCAGAAUCAAAAUAUUAAUUAGAAUAUUAUACCAUUUAUAUUGUUUAUUUCUCAGUUAUUGUAUUAUUAGGUAGUCAACUAUUGUCAUUAACCUGUAAUUAUGUAGGAUCUCUGCAAUUAAUUAGGAUUCUAAUUCUUUCUCUAUUAAAGAGACAAUUCCCUUGUACAUUUGAAUAUAUCAAGAAAUUAUUCUCCUCUCAUUCUUUUCUACUUUGUGCAUUUUGAAUGAUUUGGUUUUCUGUAUUUUUUCCUUGAGUGAGGGGAGUAAGGGUAGGAACUAUAAAACAAUAGACAGCUAUACAUACUCAAUCCUUGUGCUUCUGCAUUUCAGGGAACUGUAACUGUCUG
rnacentral:lncRNA from 1 species